rnacentral:rRNA from 1 species
AGUAAUGUCUGGGAAACUGCCUGAUGGAGGGGGAUAGCUGCUGGAACGGUAGCUAAUACCGCAUAACGUCGCAAGACCAAAGAGGGGGACCUUCGGGCCUCUUGCCAUCGGAUGUGCCCAGAUGGGAUUAGCUAGUAGGUGGGGUAACGGCUCACCUAGGCGACGAUCCCUAGCUGGUCUGAGAGGAUGACCAGCCACACUGGAACUGAGACACGGUCCAG